rnacentral:rRNA from 1 species
CCUACGGGGGGCAGCAGUGGGGAAUAUUGCACAAUGGGGGAAACCCUGAUGCAGCGACGCCGCGUGAGUGAAGAAGUAUUUCGGUAUGUAAAGCUCUGUCAGCAGGGAAGAAAAUGACGGUACCUGACCAAGAAGCCCCGGCUAACUACGUGCCAGCAGCCGCGGUAAUACGUAGGGGGCAAGCGUUAUCCGGAUUUACUGGGUGUAAAGGGAGCGUAGACGGCAGGGCAAGUCUGGAGUGAAAGGCGGGGGCCCAACCCCCGGACUGCUCUGGAAACUGCCAGGCUGGAGUGCAGGAGAGGUAAGUGGAAUUCCUAGUGUAGCGGUGAAAUGCGUAGAUAUUAGGAGGAACACCAGUGGCGAAGGCGGCUUACUGGACUGUAACUGACGUUGAGGCUCGAAAGCGUGGGGAGCAAACAGGAUUAGAUACCCGGGUAGUC